CUGGGCGGUGACCGGCCACAAAAUGGCCCACCAGGGGCUGCGGGUACCUCAAGAUGUGAGUCUUUGUUCUCUGACCAGGAAGCGCGGUGACGAUUGAAGCAAGUAACAGUUCCAUCAGGAGCUCCUGUUCCCAGGUGUUCUUGUAUUAAUACCAAAAAGGUUGUCAAAAAGAAGAUUAUUUACCUUUUGGAGAAGCUCACUCCUGGAAACUGACAUCAUUGUCUUCAGCAUCUCAUCUACAGAACCAAGAGAUUUUUCAAAUGCUGCAAG